rnacentral:SRP_RNA from 1 species
GGGGGUGUGGUGGCUUGCCUGUGGCCCCAGCUACUCAGGAGCCUGAGGUGGGAGGAUCGCUUGAGCCCAGCAGUUCUGGGCUGUAGUGCACUAUGCCAAUUGGGUGUCCGCACUAAGUUCCUCAUCAAUAUGGUGGCCUCCCGGGAAGGGGGGACCACCAGGUUGCCUAAGGAGGGGUGAACCGGCCCAGGUCAGAAACAGAGCAGGUCAAAACUCCUGUGCUGAUCAGUAGUGGGAUCGCUCCUGUGAAUAGCCACUGUACUCCAGCCUGGGCAACAUAACGAGACCCCCAUCUCU